UUCGAGUAUUGCAAUUGCCUCUCCCGAAAAGACCGAAUUCAGAUAGGGGGAUUUAAAACUGAGUACGACAUUGAACUUGGGGAACCAAACCGCGGCUCCCAAGUCGCCAUGUUCGUGUAAUUUUGAAGCGUCGGUAAAAACAGUAGUCCAGUCAUGCCAUUCUCUCUUAACUAUAUCGUUGAAGACUUGGUUUGCUCCAGGGGUAUCUUUCAUGAUGCCAAAACUAAGAUAGACUGUUGGGCGAAACGUUAAACAUUUAAAAUCAGUUUCAAACAACGGGUUCAUAUAAUUUUGGUAAAUAGGGAAUGGGAGAUUGGAAAUUUUGUUAAAACUGUUGAUAAGAAGGGGGGGUUUCUUGUGUGACCAAUAAUUGGAGGAAGGGAUAAUCUCCGACAAGGAUUGCAAUACGGGAAGCAAAGGGUGAGAAGAAUAUUGAAAGAUCUUGAAGAGGAAUCUAUUAGCAAGGAAUUGUCUACGUAGAUGUAGAGGGGGCUCCAGACAUUCGACUUGAAGAGCGUUUGUUGAAGGAAGCCGCCAUAAUCAAAAUGACUUCUAAUGAUUGCGUUGUACAGGAGCUUUUGGUUAUACGGAUGUGAUCCCCAACGAACACCAGAAAGUGCACUUUCAGGGAGGCGUCUCUUGCGGGAAAAAACGACAGCUGUGCUUUUGUUAGCUGAAAGAGAGAGGCCGUGAUCG